rnacentral:rRNA from 1 species
CAGCCGCGGUAAUACAUAGGUCCCAAGCGUUAUCCGGAUUUACUGGGCGUAAAGAGUCUGUAGCCUGAUGUGUAAGUCUGUUUUCAAAUACUCCGACUCAAUCGGAGAAAGGGGAUAGAUACUGCAUAUCUGGAAGUUAUUGGGGGUUAGUGGAAUUUCCGGUGGAGCGGUGAAAUGCGUUGAUAUCGGAAAGAACGCCGAAAGUGAAAACAGCUAACUACAAUAAACUUGACGGUCAAAGACGAAAGCUUGGGGAGCGAACGGGAUUAGAUACCCCGGUAGUCCAAGCUGUAAAUUAUGCAUGCUAGAUGUUUUGUCCCGAUUUUCGGGGUGGAGUGUCGUAAUCUAACGAGUUAAGCAUGCCGCCUGGGUAGUAUAUUCGCAAGAAUGAAACUCAAAGGGAUAGGCGGGGGAACACACAAGCAGUGGAUUAUCUAGAUUAAUUGGAUAAUAAGCCAAAAAUCUCACCUAAACUUGACAUGUACUAUGUCCUAUGUGAAAGCAUAGUAGUCCAAGCAAUUGGGCGUGGUACACAGAUGGUGCAUGGUCGUCGUCAGCUCGUGCCGCAAGGUGUCUAGUUAAGUCUAGAAACGAGCGCAACCCUCAUCUUUAGUUAGAAUGUCUAAAGAGACUGCUUCGGUAACGAAGAGGAAGGAGAGGAUGACGUCAGAUCCUCAUGCCUCUUACGUUUAGGGCUUCAUAGAUAAUACAAUGGGUAGCACAACGAGAAGCUAAGCCGCGAGGUGGAGCAAAACUCUAAAACUAUCCUUAGUUCGGAUUGUAGUCUGGAACUCGACUACAUGAAGUUGGAAUUGCUAGUAAUGGCGGGUCAGAUACACCGCCGUGAAUAUGUCCCUGUUCCUUGCACUCACCGCCCGUCAAACCAUGGGAGCUGAGAGCCUCUGAAGAUGUGCUUUGCAUGUUGAGGAGGAUAUUGGUGACUGGGGUUAAGUCGUAACAAGGUAUCCCUACCGGAAGGUGGGGAUAG